rnacentral:rRNA from 1 species
GACGAACGCUGGCGGCGUGCUUAACACAUGCAAGUCGAACGAAGUGGCGAACGGGUGAGUAACGCGUAAUCAACCUGCCCUUCAGAGGGGGACAACAGUUGGAAACGACUGCUAAUACCGAAUACUGAAGGAGGGGAUUGCGUCGGAUUGGCUAGUUGGGGGGGUAACGGCUCACCAAGGCGAUGAUCAGUAGCCGGUCUGAGAGGAUGAACGGCCACAUUGGAACUGAGACACGGCCCAGACUCCUACGGGAGGCAGCAGUGGGGAAGCUUCCGCAAUGGGCGAAAGUCUGACGGAGCAACGCCGCGUGAAUGAUGAAGGCCUUCGGGUUGUAAAGCUCUGUUAGUCGGGACGCGGUACCGGAAUAGAAAGCCACGGCUAACUACGUGCCAGCGGCCGGGGUAAUA